rnacentral:rRNA from 1 species
GUGAAACUGCGAAUGGCUCAUUAAAUCAGUUAUCGUUUAUUUGAUAGUACCUUACUACUUGGAUAACCGUGGUAAUUCUAGAGCUAAUACAUGCUAAAAACCCCAACUUCGGGAGGGGUGUAUUUAUUAGAUAAAAAACCAAUGCCCUUCGGGGCUCCUUGGUGAUUCAUGAUAACUUCUCAGAUCGCAUAGCCUUGAGCUGGCGACGGUUCAUUCAAAUUUCUGCCCUAUCAACUUUCGAUGGUAAGGUAGUGGCUUACCAUGGUUGCAACGGGUAACGGGGAAUUAGGGUUCGAUUCCGGAGAGGGAGCCUGAGAAACGGCUACCACAUCCAAGGAAGGCAGCAGGCGCGCAAAUUACCCAAUUCCGAUACGGAGAGGUAGUGACAAUAAAUACUGAUACAGGGCUCUUUUGGGUCUUGUAAUUGGAAUGAGUACAAUUUAAACCUCUUAACGAGGAACAAUUGGAGGGCAAGUCUGGUGCCAGCAGCCGCGGUAAUUCCAGCUCCAAUAGCGUAUAUUAAAGUUGUUGCAGUUAAAAAGCUCGUAGUUGAACCUUUGGCCUGGCUGGCAGGUCCGCCUCACCGCGUGCACUUGUCCGGCCGGGCCUUUUCUUCUGGAGAACCGCAUGCCCUUCACUGGGUGUGUUGGGGAACCAGGACUUUUACUUUGAAAAAAUUAGAGUGUUCAAAGCAGGCCUUUGCUCGAAUACGUUAGCAUGGAAUAAUAGAAUAGGACGUGCGGUCCUAUUUUGUUGGUUUCUAGGACCGCCGUAAUGAUUAAUAGGGACAGUCGGGGGCAUCAGUAUUCAUUUGUCAGAGGUGAAAUUCUUGGAUUUAUUGAAGACUAACUACUGCGAAAGCAUUUGCCCAAGGAUGUUUUCAUUAAUCAGUGAACGAAAGUUAGGGGAUCGAAGACGAUCAGAUACCGUCGUAGUCU